rnacentral:misc_RNA from 1 species
GUGGACUCGAGCGGCAACUAGAGCGUUUUGAUGGAGCGGCUGAAGAAGGCAAUUGAAGAUGAAGGUGGUAAUCCUGACGAAAUUGAAAUUACCUCCGAGGGAAACAAGAAAACAUCAAAGAGGUCUAGCAAAGGGCGCAAACCAGAAGAAGAGGGUGUGGAAGAUAACGGGCUGGAGGAAAACUCUGGGGAUGGACAGGAGGAUGUUGAGACCAGUCUGGAGAACUUGCAGGACAU